rnacentral:misc_RNA from 1 species
GAUGAAGAACGUAGUAAAAUGCGAUAAGCAAUGUGAAUUGCAGAAUUCAGUGAAUCAUCGAAUCUUUGAACGCACAUUGCGCCCGCCAGUAUUCUGACGGGCAUGCCUGUUCGAGCGUCAUUUCAACCAUCAAGCCCCCGGCUUGUGUUGGGGACCUGCGGCUGCCGCAGGCCCUGAAAUCCAGUGGCGGGCUCGCCGUAGCACCGAGCGUAGUAGCACACUUCUCGCUCCGGUAGCAGCGGCGGGCGCUUGCCGUAAAACCCCCCCUAAAAUCUCAAGGUUGACCUCGGAUCAGGUAGGAAUACCCGCUGAACUUAAGCAUAUCAAUAAGCGGAGGA